rnacentral:rRNA from 1 species
AGCAAACGCUGGCGGCGUGCCUAAUACAUGCAAGUCGAACGGGGAAAGUAGCAAUAUGAGUACUAGUGGCGCACGGGUGAGGAGCGCGUGGGUAAUCUGCCUUCGAGCGGGGGAUAACUAGUCGAAAGAUUAGCUAAUACCGCAUAAGACCACAAGAUCUGCGGAUCUAGGGGUCAAAGCAGCAAUGCACUUGAAGAUGAGCCCGCGUAAGAUUAGCUAGUUGGUGAGGUAACGGCUCACCAAGGCGAUGAUCUUUAGCUGGUCUGAGAGGAUGAUCAGCCACACUGGAAGUGAGACACGGUCCAGACUCCUACGGGAGGCAGAAGUAGGGAAUAUUGCGCAAUGGGGGCAACCCUGACGCAGCGACGCCGCGUGAGUGAUGAAGGCCUUCGGGUCGUAAAGCUCUGUUAUAUGGGAAUAAGUUCUGAAUGUACCAUGUGAGAAAGGAUCGGCUAACUUCGUGCCAGCAGCCGCGGUAA